GAACAAAACGCCGCUAUUCGGAUAUAACGAUGGAUUAUUUUGGACCAAACCAACAUUUGUUAUUGAAGUAGCAGUCCUGGGAGUGCAUUCUGACGCAGACAACAAAAGGUAUGAUGGCUUGAGAUUUCAUUGAGGAAGAAAUCAUCAAGCGAUGUGCUGGACCUUAUGUCAGAGAUAUGUUUCUGAGAGCAUGUGAUUUCUUUCAAGACAAUGACCAGGAGACACACUGCCCCCCAGGUUUGCAUUGCAAAUGAGGGGCAUAAACUGGGUCAAGACGCCAGCAGACCUGGUCCAGACCAGACACAGCUGUGUCAAUAUUCAGGCUAAGGGAAGCCAGACUGCUGAGCCCCAAGACACAAGCCUCCAGCCAGAUCACAGGAUUACAUAUACACCCUCAACAAACCCCUCUCUGUUUGUUUGAUAUCCACAGAGAAUGGUCUGUCAUACAAAUAUGUUUGACCAUCAACCUCAGCCUGUCUCUAUGUCUGUCUGUUCUCUGUCAGUCUGUCUCUCUGUCAGUCUGUCUGUCUGUCUGUCUGUCUGUCUGUCUGUCUGUCUGUCUGUCUGUCUGUCUGUCUGUCUGUCUGUCAGCUUGUCUCUCUGUCUAUCUGUUCUCUGUCUGUCUCUCUGUCAGCCUGUCUCUCUGUCUGCCUGUCUUUCUGUCUGUUCUCUGUCAGCUUGUCUCUCUGUCUGUCUGUCAGCCUGUCUCUCUGUCAGCCUGUCUCUCUGCCAGCCUGUCUCUCUGCCAGCCUGUCUCUCUGUCUGUCUGUCUCUCUAUCUGUCUGUCGGUCAGCCUGUCUCUCUGUCAGCCUGUCUCUCUGUCAGCCUGUCUCUCUGCCAGCCUGUCUGUCUGUCUGUCUCUCUGUCUUUCUGUUCUCUGUC
rnacentral:lncRNA from 1 species